rnacentral:rRNA from 1 species
GCAACCUGCCCUGCAGAUCGGGAUAACUCCGGGAAACCGGUGCUAAUACCGAAUAGUUUGCGGCCUCUCCUGAGGCUGCACGGAAAGACGGUUUCGGCUGUCACUGCAGGAUGGGCCCGCGGCGCAUUAGCUAGUUGGUGGGGUAAUGGCUCACCAAGGCGACGAUGCGUAGCCGACCUGAGAGGGUGAUCGGCCACACUGGGACUGAGACACGGCCCAGACUCCUACGGGAGGCAGCAGUAGGGAAUCUUCCGCAAUGGACGAAAGUCUGACGGAGCAACGCCGCGUGAGUGACGAAGGUUUUCGGAUCGUAAAACUCUGUUGUGAGGGAAGAACAAGUAUCAUUUAACUGAUGGUACCUUGACGGUACCUCACCAGAAAGCCACGGCUAACUACGUGCCAGCAGCCGCGGUAAUACGUAGGUGGCAAGCGUUGUCCGGAAUUAUUGGGCGUAAAGCGCGCGCAGGCGGUCCCUUAAGUCUGAUGUGAAAGCCCACGGCUCAACCG